GAUAGCUCAGUUGGUUAGAGCAUGGCGCUGAUAAAGCCAAGGCUGCAGGUUCAAUCCCCACAACG